AGCGAACGCUGGCGGCAGGCCUAACACAUGCAAGUCGAACGAAGCCUUCGGGCUUAGUGGCGGACGGGUGAGUAACACGUGGGAACGUACCUUUUGGUUCGGAACAACUCAGGGAAACUUGAGCUAAUACCGGAUGAGCCCUUAGGGGGAAAGAUUUAUCGCCGAAAGAGCGGCCCGCGUUAGAUUAGCUAGUUGGUGAGGUAAAGGCUCACCAAGGCAACGAUCUAUAGCUGGUCUGAGAGGAUGAUCAGCCACACUGGGACUGAUACACGGCCCAGACUCCUACGGGAGGCAGCAGUGGGGAAUCUUGCGCAAUGGGCGAAAGCCAGACGCAGCCAUGCCGCGUGAAUGGUGAAGGUCUUAGGAUUGUAAAAUUCUUUUACCAGGGACGAUAAUGACGGUACCUGGAGAAAAAGCCCCGGCUAACUUCGUGCCAGCCGCCGCCGUAACAC
rnacentral:rRNA from 1 species